rnacentral:rRNA from 1 species
GACGUAGGGCGCGAGCGUUGUCCGGAUUUAUUGGGCGUAAAGAGCUCGUAGGCGGCUUGUUGCGUCGACCGUGAAAACCCGGGGCUCAACUUCGGGCUUGCGGUCGAUACGGGCGGGCUAGAGUUCGGUAGGGGAGACUGGAAUUCCUGGUGUAGCGGUGAAAUGCGCAGAUAUCAGGAGGAACACCGGUGGCGAAGGCGGUUCUCUGGGCCUUACCUGACGCUGAGGAGCGAAAGCGUGGGGAGCGAACAGG